rnacentral:rRNA from 1 species
AGUGAACGCUGGCGGUAGGCCUAACACAUGCAAGUCGAACGGCAGCACAGUAAGAGCUUGCUCUUACGGGUGGCGAGUGGCGGACGGGUGAGGAAUACAUCGGAAUCUACUUUUUCGUGGGGGAUAACGUAGGGAAACUUACGCUAAUACCGCAUACGACCUACGGGUGAAAGCAGGGGAUCUUCGGACCUUGCGCGAUUGAAUGAGCCGAUGUCGGAUUAGCUAGUUGGUGGGGUAAAGGCCCACCAAGGCGACGAUCCGUAGCUGGUCUGAGAGGAUGAUCAGCCACACUGGAACUGAGACACGGUCCAGACUCCUACGGGAGGCAGCAGUGGGGAAUAUUGGACAAUGGGCGCAAGCCUGAUCCAGCCACACCGCGUGGGUGAAGAGGGCCUUCGGGUUGUAAAGCCCUUUUGUUGGGAAAGAAAAGCAGCAGGUUAAUACCCCGCUGUUCUGACGGUACCCAAAGAAUAAGCACCGGCUAACUUCGUG